AGUGAACGCUGGUGGCGUGCCUAAUACAUGCAAGUCGAAGGAUGUGGCUCAAGGGUGAGUAAUAUAUAGCUAAUCUGCCCCUUGCUGGAGUACAACAGUUAGCAAUGACUGCUAAUACUUCAUAGCAAGGGAUGAGACUAUGUCGUAUCAGCUAGUCGGUGGGGUAACGGCCUACUGAGGGUAUGACGUGUAACUGGUCUGAGAUGAUGAUCAGUCAGAUUGUAACAGAAAGACGGUCCAAACGCCUACGGGUGGCGGCAGUGAGGAGUAGAGCGGAAGGGGGGAAGCCCUGACGCUGCAACACUGCGUGGAGGAUGACACAUUUCUGGAAGUAAACUCGUUGUGUAAGAGUGUCGGUCCCUAUCGAAUAAGCACCGGGUGACUCCGAGCUAGCAGCCGCGGUAAUUC
rnacentral:rRNA from 1 species